rnacentral:tRNA from 1 species
GGGUCUAUCGCUUAAUGGUAAAGCAUACGCGUUGCAUGCGUAAACUACCGGUUCAAAUCCGGUUGGAUCCA